rnacentral:rRNA from 1 species
CAGUAGAACGCUGAAGAGAGGAGCUUGCUCUUCUUGGAUGAGUUGCGAACGGGUGAGUAACGCGUAGGUAACCUGCCUUGUAGCGGGGGAUAACUAUUGGAAACGAUAGCUAAUACCGCAUAACAAUGGAUGACACAUGUCAUUUAUUUGAAAGGGGCAAUUGCUCCACUACAAGAUGGACCUGCGUUGUAUUAGCUAGUAGGUGAGGUAAUGGCUCACCUAGGCGACGAUACAUAGCCGACCUGAGAGGGUGAUCGGCCACACUGGGACUGAGACACGGCCCAGACUCCUACGGGAGGCAGCAGUAGGGAAUCUUCGGCAAUGGGGGCAACCCUGACCGAGCAACGCCGCGUGAGUGAAGAAGGUUUUCGGAUCGUAAAGCUCUGUUGUAAGUCAAGAACGGGUGUGAGAGUGGAAAGUUCACACUGUGACGGUAGCUUACCAGAAAGGGACGGCUAACUACGUGCCAGCAGCCGCGGUAAUACGUAGGUCCCGAGCGUUGUCCGGAUUUAUUGGGCGUAAAGCGAGCGCAGGCGGUUUGAUAAGUCUGAAGUUAAAGGCUGUGGCUCAACCAUAGUUCGCUUUGGAAACUGUCAAACUUGAGUGCAGAAGGGGAGAGUGGAAUUCCAUGUGUAGCGGUGAAAUGCGUAGAUAUAUGGAGGAACACCGGUGGCGAAAGCGGCUCUCUGGUCUGUAACUGACGCUGAGGCUCGAAAGCGUGGGGAGCGAACAGGAUUAGAUACCCUGGUAGUCCACGCCGUAAACGAUGAGUGCUAGGUGUUGGAUCCUUUCCGGGAUUCAGUGCCGCAGCUAACGCAUUAAGCACUCCGCCUGGGGAGUACGACCGCAAGGUUGAAACUCAAAGGAAUUGACGGGGGCCCGCACAAGCGGUGGAGCAUGUGGUUUAAUUCGAAGCAACGCGAAGAACCUUACCAGGUCUUGACAUCCCGAUGCUAUUUCUAGAGAUAGAAAGUUACUUCGGUACAUCGGUGACAGGUGGUGCAUGGUUGUCGUCAGCUCGUGUCGUGAGAUGUUGGGUUAAGUCCCGCAACGAGCGCAACCCCUAUUGUUAGUUGCCAUCAUUCAGUUGGGCACUCUAGCGAGACUGCCGGUAAUAAACCGGAGGAAGGUGGGGAUGACGUCAAAUCAUCAUGCCCCUUAUGACCUGGGCUACACACGUGCUACAAUGGUUGGUACAACGAGUUGCGAGUCGGUGACGGCGAGCUAAUCUCUUAAAGCCAAUCUCAGUUCGGAUUGUAGGCUGCAACUCGCCUACAUGAAGUCGGAAUCGCUAGUAAUCGCGGAUCAGCACGCCGCGGUGAAUACGUUCCCGGGCCUUGUACACACCGCCCGUCACACCACGAGAGUUUGUAACACCCGAAGUCGGUGAGGUAACCUUUGGAGCCAG